rnacentral:rRNA from 1 species
UACAGAGACCUCAAGCGUUAUCCGGAAUCACUGGGCGUAAAGCGUACCGAUAGGUGGUUUUGUAAGUCUUUGGUGAAAGCCCCGAGCUCAACUCGGGAAUCGCCAAGGAAACUAUAAGACUAGAGGAACAAAGAGGGAGCUGGAACUUUGGGUGUAGCGGUGAAAUGCGUUGAUAUCCAAAGGAACACUAAUAGCGAAGGCAGGCUCCUGGGUGUUUCCUGACACUGCUAGGACGAAAGCGUGGGUAGCGAAUGGG